UGAGUAAACUGAUUCACCUUCAAGGGAUGGAAAAAUUACAGUGAAUCACUGGUAAAUAACCUACAGGAUAAUAUGGAAUCUAUUUCCAAUCAUCAAUGUAGACUCCAGCGAGCUGAAUCACUGUCUGCCGCCUCCAUGAGCAGCUGUCCACAGUAAUGGAAACUUAUCAGUGACUGGUUGGAGAUGAUUUUCACAGGCACCAACUUCAUUGACAGCCACUCAAGUGUCCAGAAAACAGCAGUCAUCAUGUGACACCUGCAGAAAACAACCUAACGCGCGCAGCUGAUACUGACGAUAACGUGACGUCAACUUAUGUAGUGCUGCGCAGUGCCACAACAGGCUUUGUUGAGCAUGCCAAAGCAGAGGAUAAGGAAAAUCAGAGUGCUAGGAGGAAGAUGACUGAUCACAAGACAUACAUUUUCAACAGCGGGCAGCUAAUCAGUGAGUGAUGCACCUUGGGACUGCGUAGCGCUCACACUCCAGGUGAAAUGACUCAUGUGUUAGCUUUAGUUGGCUUUCUUUGGGCAUAUUGCAAUGGUAAAGUAUUCAAACUAUUUAAUUUUUCCAUGCAAUUCUAAACUGUGAGCCACAACUUUCCUGUCCUUCAACUCAUCCGUGCUAGUGUGAUGUGCAAAAAUAUUGAACCUGGGAAAGUAGAGUAUAUUUGUGUGUAAUGAAAGAAUGAAAACAAUGUAUGAGUUUGCAGUGCAUCGUUCCUGUUCUGUCACCUCGAAAGCCAUAAUUCAAUAGCCAGCUAAUGCAAUGUUUCUUCUCGUUUGUUUCCUCUGCUAGUGCAUUUAUCCAUCUGAACAUAAACGCAUAUCAAUGCGCCG
rnacentral:lncRNA from 1 species